rnacentral:rRNA from 1 species
AUGAACGCUAGCUACAGGCUUAACACAUGCAAGUCGAGGGGCAGCAUGGUCUUAGCUUGCUAAGGCCGAUGGCGACCGGCGCACGGGUGAGUAACACGUAUCCAACCUGCCGUCUACUCUUGGACAGCCUUCUGAAAGGAAGAUUAAUACAAGAUGGCAUCAUGAGUCCACAUGUUCACAUGAUUAAAGGUAUUCCGGUAGACGAUGGGGAUGCGUUCCAUUAGAUAGUAGGCGGGGUAACGGCCCACCUAGUCUUCGAUGGAUAGGGGUUCUGAGAGGAAGGUCCCCCACAUUGGAACUGAGACACGGUCCAAACUCCUACGGGAGGCAGCAGUGAGGAAUAUUGGUCAAUGGGCGAGAGCCUGAACCAGCCAAGUAGCGUGGAGGAUGACUGCCCUAUGGGUUGUAAACUUCUUUUGUAAAGGAAUAAAGUCGGGUAUGGAUACCCGUUUGCAUGUACUUUAUGAAUAAGGAUCGGCUAACUCCGUGCCAGCAGCCGCGGUAAUACGGAGGAUCCGAGCGUUAUCCGGAUUUAUUGGGUUUAAAGGGAGCGUAGAUGGAUGUUUAAGUCAGUUGUGAAAGUUUGCGGCUCAACCGUAAAAUUGCAGUUGAUACUGGAUAUCUUGAGUGCAGUUGAGGCAGGCGGAAUUCGUGGUGUAGCGGUGAAAUGCUUAGAUAUCACGAAGAACUCCGAUUGCGAAGGCAGCCUGCUAAGCUGCAACUGACAUUGAGGCUCGAAAGUGUGGGUAUCAAACAGGAUUAGAUACCCUGGUAGUCCACACGGUAAACGAUGAAUACUCGCUGUUUGCGAUAUACGGCAAGCGGCCAAGCGAAAGCGUUAAGUAUUCCACCUGGGGAGUACGCCGGCAACGGUGAAACUCAAAGGAAUUGACGGGGGCCCGCACAAGCGGAGGAACAUGUGGUUUAAUUCGAUGAUACGCGAGGAACCUUACCCGGGCUUAAAUUGCAGAUGAAUUACGGUGAAAGCCGUAAGCCGCAAGGCAUCUGUGAAGGUGCUGCAUGGUUGUCGUCAGCUCGUGUCGUGAGAUGUUGGGUUAAGUCCCGCAACGAGCGCAACCCCUGUUUCCAGUUACCAGCAUGUAAAGAUGGGGACUCUGGAGAGACUGCCGGUGAUAAAUCGGAGGAAGGUGGGGACGACGUCAAAUCAUCAUGCCCUUUAUGUCCUGGGCUACACACGUACUACAAUGGGGGGUACAGAGGGCCGCUACCACGCGAGUGGAUGCCAAUCCCAAAAACCUCUCUCAGUUCGGACUGGAGUCUGCAACCCGACUCCACGAAGCUGGAUUCGCUAGUAAUCGCGCAUCAGCCACGGCGCGGUGAAUACGUUCCCGGGCCUUGUACACACCGCCCGUCAAGCCAUGAAAGCCGGGGGUACCUGAAGUGCGUAACCGCGAGGAGCGCCCUAGGGUAAAACUGGUGACUGGGGCU